GCUGCAGAUGAAAGUCAUCUGCUGUAGAAGCUCAGACGGGGACUUUCUGUUGGAGAAGUUUGACUGGAGUCUGAUUGCUAGAGAAAUUCAUCUGAAAUUUGCCUGAUGUAGAAGCUCGUCGGAGGACUGUCCGCUGGAGGGGUCCAAUUCUGGUAGGAGUCCAGAAAGAGGCCGCUUACAGUAGAAGCUUGGACGAAGAUCGGUUGCCAUGGA
rnacentral:lncRNA from 1 species